CCGGCACGGGUGAGUAACACGUAUCCAACCUGCCGUCUACUCUUGGCCAGCCUUCUGAAAGGAAGAUUAAUCCAGGAUGGCAUCAUGAGUUCACAUGUCCGCAUGACUAAAGGUAUUUUCCGGUAGACGAUGGGGAUGCGUUCCAUUAGAUAGUAGGCGGGGUAACGGCCCACCUAGUCAACGAUGGAUAGGGGUUCUGAGAGGAAGGUCCCCCACAUUGGAACUGAGACACGGUCCAA
rnacentral:rRNA from 1 species